GAUCUCCUUUCCUUUGAAAAAUGGGUCCUUUAAGCUUCGUAACGCGCCUCCUCUCACUCUCAAGACCCUCUCCACCCGUGAACCCAAAGGUAAUGUCUUACUCUUUGUUGGAGUUUUUUUAAUACUGUUUGAAAUGGUGGGUUUUUAUUUGAUCUGAUACUGCUUUACUAUGUUAAUCGGGUUUAUGUUUUUCGGAUGUUAUUUCAUAUUUCUUGUGGCGUAUCCAGUGAAGUUUGAUUGAUUGGUUACCCAGAAAUUUGAGGAAAGAAAACAGGCAAAAAUUUUCCGGGAAUUUGUAAAAUCUAGCUUUAACCAAUCAAAAGGCGUUUGUGUGCAUCUGUGUGUUAAAAUAUUCGGUUGGUCGUAGUUGUGGCAACUAGCGGCCAAGUCUAGGAAAUAGUUUAACUUUGAAGAUUUGGUGCUUUCAAACGAGUGUUAAAACGUUGGAUAUGAACCCUCAACAUUGGUUAUUUACUUUUUCUUUAAUAGGGUGGUUAUUUAGAUAUUCUCUGUCUCUUUAUGGCUUUGGCUGGAUGAAUCUGACACUGGAUCUGCAAAAGAGAAACGAUAGAAGAGCCUUUUGACUGAUUUUAUUAAAUUUGGAGAUGUGUAGAUUCAAACUAAAUUCCAUUCGGAUUUGUUGCUAUGUAUCAUGGUAGAUUAGAUCUCGGAAAUUUUCAGUGUAAAGUUUACGACUAUAUAAUUAUAUGUGAGUUUUAUGUUUUCAAAGCUGAUACUUUCGCUAAAAUUAACUUGAUCUAUCAGCCAAAAAACUUGUUUGUAGCGGUGCCAUGCAACAUAAAAUCUUUACUGCUGGUGCUGUGGAUAGAAGAAAGGGUACUUUGAAAAGAUGAGAUUGUUUUGUAAUGUAUCGUAGUGGUCGAACCAACUGAGAUAUUACCAACAGUUUGGAAUUUAGCUUUUGUAUUCAGGAAUUGGGAUGUCAAUCUAUUUUCUAAGCUUUAGAAGCUGUAAGAAACGACUAACAGAAUUGAACAUGGUGUCUCACUGUCUCUUAGAGCUGCAGUGGUUACUAAAGACACAUGGGAGAAAUUGAUAUUGAACAGUGAUACCCCUGUUCUAGUCGAAUUUUAUGCAAGCUGGUGCGGCCCCU